GGGCACAUGUAAAGCACAUACACUAAAAUUAGAACAAUACAGAGAUUAGCAUGGCCUCUGCACAAGGAUGACAUGCAAAUUCAUGAAGCAUUUCAUACUUUU